CGGUAGGUGAUGUAAUGAGGCGGACAAAUGGAUGGAAAUUAAUUGAACGCCUUCAACAAUUGAAAAAAGAAAAACCUGAUAGACUAUAUGAAUUAUAAAUCAAAUAAUUAUAAAGUAAAUUUUCGAACAUUGCUUCGAUUAAUAAGGCAAAAAUAAUUACUUUGAUUUCAACGCUCUAGCUAGGCUUGUUCAGUAAUUUUCUGUAAUCGCCAUUAUGAAAGAAAUAUCAACAUAGAAUAUAGUGUGAUUUACUCCUUGUUUACAUUCUUUAGUUUCUAUUCUAAUUUUUCUAUUCGGAUAUGUAAACAAAAUCAUAAUUUUAAAAUAUAACACGGUCUAAUUUACGGCAUCUUGAAAGUAUAAUAGCAUAUAUAAUUGUCAAACACCAUUCUAAUAAAAUAUGAUAUGUAACGCCACUUUUAAUGGAUAACGUCUGUCGUCAGCUUCACGAUUGACGGCUAGAGCUAUUGUCAAUAACGUUACAAAAUCCCAUAUCACGAUUUCAAUACUUUUUCUUGCAUUUUACUAGUACUACAUUAGAAUUGGAUUGAUAGUACUGUGUUGUAGAUUUACCACUGUCAUUUUGCAAAUUCAACGGUGGAAACUAUUGCUCUGCCCUACUAGUAGAGCUCCAUUUUCGACUGCUAAAUAACCUAUUGACAGUGAUACCUCUUCAGAUACAGUACUGUUAUCCUUUUACCGUUUCGUAUAUUUCAUUCGUG
rnacentral:lncRNA from 1 species